AACGAACGCUGGCGGCAUGCCUAACACAUGCAAGUCGAACGAGACCUUCGGGUCUAGUGGCGCACGGGCGCGUAACGCGUGGGAACCUGCCCUUAGGUUCGGAAUAACUCCCCGAAAGGGGUGCUAAUACCGGAUAAUGUCUUCGGACCAAAGAUUUAUCGCCUUUGGAUGGGCCCGCGUUGGAUUAGCUAGUUGGUAGGGUAAAAGCCUACCAAGGCGACGAUCCAUAGCUGGUCUGAGAGGAUGAUCAGCCACACUGGGACUGAGACACGGCCCAGACUCCUACGGGAAGCAGCAGUGGGGAAUAUUGGACAAUGGGCGAAAGCCUGAUCCAGCAAUGCCGCGUGAGUGAUGAAGGCCUUAGGGUUGUAAAGCUCUUUUACCCGGGAUGAUAAUGACAGUACCGGGAGAAUAAGCUCCGGCCAACUCCGUG
rnacentral:rRNA from 1 species